rnacentral:rRNA from 1 species
CCUACGGGCGGCAGCAGUAGGGAAUUUUCGUCAAUGGGCGCAAGCCUGAACGAGCGAUGCCGCGUGAGUGAAGAAGGCCUUCGGGUCGUAAAGCUCUGUUGCGGGGGCAAAAAAGCAGCAUCAGGAAAUGGGUGCUGCCUGAUGGUGCCCCACCAGCAAGUCACGGCUAACGACGUGCCAGCACCCGCGGUAAUACGUAGGUGGCGAGCGUUAUCCGGAAUGAUUGGGCGGAAAGGGUGCGCAGGCGGUCCUGAAAGGCUGAAGUGAAACGCAUGAGCGGAACACAUGCAUGGCGUUGGAAACUGGAGGACUGGAGAGCAGGAGAGGGCGGUGGAACUCCAUGUGUAGCGGUAAAAUGCGUAGAUAUAUGGAAGAACACCAGUGGCGAAGGCGGCCGCCUGGCCUGUUGCUGACGCUGAGGCACGAAAGCGUGGGGAGCAAAUAGGAUUAGAUACCCUUGUAGUC